GGUGGCUCAGUGGUAGAGUGCUUGCCUUGCAUACAUGAGGCCCUGGGUUCAAUUUCUCGGCACCA
rfam:Dipodomys ordii contig_10952, whole genome shotgun sequence.